GACGAACGCUGGCGGCGUGCUUAACACAUGCAAGUCGAACGAGGUUCAACCAGUGGCAACACUGGGGAAGACCUAGUGGCGAACGGGUGAGUAACACGUGAGGAACCUACCCCGAAGACUGGGAUAAGCCCCCGAAAGGGGGUCUAAUACCGGAUGUCCCCUCCUAGCCGCAUGGCCGGGAGUGGAAAGGUCCGCCGCUUCGGGACGGCCUCGCGGCCUAUCAGCUUGUUGGUGAGGUAACGGCUCACCAAGGCGACGACGGGUAGCUGGUCUGAGAGGACGAUCAGCCACACUGGGACUGAGACACGGCCCAGACUCCUACGGGAGGCAGCAGUGGGGAAUCUUGCGCAAUGGGCGAAAGCCUGACGCAGCAACGCCGCGUGCGGGAUGAAGGCCUUCGGGUUGUAAACCGCUUUCAGUAGGGACGAAAACAGACGGUACCUACAGAAGAAGCACCGGCCAACUACGUGCCAGCAGCCGCGGUAACACGUAGGGUGCAAGCGUUGUCCGGAAUCAUUGGGCGUAAAGAGCUCGUAGGCGGCUUAGUAAGUCGGGUGUGAAAACCCCAGGCUCAACCUGGGGACGCCACCCGAUACUGCUAUAGCUAGAGUCCAGUAGGGGAGUGUGGAAUUCCCAGUGUAGCGGUGAAAUGCGCAGAUAUUGGGAGGAACACCAGCGGCGAAGGCGGCACUCUGGGCUGGUACUGACGCUGAGGAGCGAAAGCGUGGGUAGCGAACAGGAUUAGAUACCCUGGGUAGUCCACGCCGUAAACGUUGGGCACUAGGUGUGGGGGCCUAUUCAACGGGUUCCGUUGCCCGUAGCUAACGCAUUAAGUGCCCCGCCCUGGGGGAGUACGGGCCGCAAGGCUAAAACCUCAAAUGAUUUGACGGGG
rnacentral:rRNA from 1 species